rnacentral:lncRNA from 1 species
AGAAGUGACAUAUGCAGCAUGACCAGUGGAAGCUUCGAAGAGCUAUUGCCAAUUUCCACCCUCUCUCUGGAAACUGUCAUUAGGGUUAGGGAAACUGUCAUGAGAUCUGCAUAUUUUAGAUAGAGGCUGCUUGCCUUAUUUGGGCACCUAAUGAAAAAGACAUGGAGGCCAGGUGCGGUGGCUCAUGUCUGUAAUCCCAGCACUUUGGGAGGCCAAGGCGAGUGGAUCACCUGAGGUCAGGAGUUCGAGACCAGCCUGACCAACAUGGCAAAACCCCGUCUGUACUAAAAGUGCAAACACAAAGGGAACUGCGUGGCUUGUUUCUACCUGAACAUUGUCAAGUGAUUUCAUCCUUUGAAACACAGUUGUGAAGUGUGUCCAGCAGUCUGAGAACAAGAAGAAGAAGAAAAUCUAAUCCUUCAGGGUGUCUGUGUGCCAGCCCUGCUCUCAGCACUUCCCAUGUGGAACUCCUUUACUUCUCCUAACAACUCCAUGACAUGGGUUAGACUGUGAUUGUUCCCAUAUUGUUGGUAGGGAAACUGAGGCAUGCAGGUGUUACAGAGCUCUCUCAAGUGGCAAGCUUUCUGGGUGGUUACAGAGUGGCAGAGCUGGGGUAUCCCAUGAUGUCACCACACUGCUAUAUGGAAAAGAACAUUAAUCGAGCACCUACGUGCUUGAUUCUCUUAAUUCUGUGACUGAACUCUCAAAACACCCUGGGUAAGCACUAUCAUCUCCUAUUUUCACAAGUGAAAAAACUGGGAUUCAAAAAAAUUAAGUGACUUACCAAAUAUUACAGAGCUAGUAAGCCAAGACUUGAACACUGAGAUGGAAUUCUACCUUUUAAGGUGGCUAAGCAACAGAAGGAUGUUCCUUUCCCAAGGGGCAGAGCACUGCGUGUUUUGAAAUAUACAAAUAGUGGGAAACGAAAUCUUUGUUCUGGAUGCAGUUAUAAUUUGGAAAGCGAGGAAAUAAAUUAUAACAAGGGGAAAAAACAGACACAGAGGGAUUGAAAUGCAUAACAAUAGAGAUGAAACACGAAGAGUGAUAAAUGAAGAUUGAGUGUGCACACCUUCUGGAGGAGCCCUGAUUGAGUAUUUUAAAAUACUACUAAAGUCAUGCCGUGUGACUUCUGAAGCUAGCUCCUAAGAAGUCCUUGCAGCUUCUGCCUGCGACUCUUAGAACACUUGCUUUGAAGGAUGCCAGAUGCUGUCUUAAAAGUCUGAGCACUCUGAAACCAUCAUGCUGUGAGGAAGCCCAAGCUAACCACAUGGGCAAAAAAGAUGCCCUCUGACUGCCACCAUUUGAGACACUCUAAUUAAGAACUGCCUCAUUGAGCCCAUGAGGCCCUGUGAAUGAUAAUAAUAAAUUGUUUUUAACCACUA